GAUGAAGAACGUAGCGAAAUGCGAUAAUUAAUGUGAAUUGCAGAAUUCCGUGAAUCAUCGAGUCUUUGAACGCACAUUGCGCCUCAUGGCAUUCCGUGAGGCAUGCCCAUCUCAGCGUUAGAAAAUAUUCUCAAAUUUUAGUUUUGUGCUAAAAUUUGCAUCAUGUCAAGGAAGCUAUUACUAUUAUUGUGAUCGCUCUUUGGAAAUUGAUAGGUCUUUGAGUUGCUACUCAUAGAACGUGAUGAAUCUUUCUUCGUUCUAUUGUAAUUCACUCUGGUAGUCCUAGAACUUGUAUGCCUGUGGCAUAUCUUGUAAUUUGACCUGAGAUUGGGUAGGGAUACCCGCUGAACUUAAGCAUAUCAAUAAGCGGAGGA
rnacentral:misc_RNA from 1 species